rnacentral:tRNA from 1 species
GGCUUGGUAGUCAAGUAUGACAUUAAAUUGCAAAUUUAAAGGUAAAUUAUUUUUCAGGCUU